rnacentral:lncRNA from 1 species
AUGUUCAAAGAUGGGGAGUGGAUCAUUGGAGGUGAUUUUAAUUCUAUCAAGAACCGAAGCGAGAGGAAAGGGAGGGUGGAGAUUGAGAGCAAUAAUGAAAUGAAGUCUUUUGUGGAAUUCAUUGAGGAAAGUAUGUUGGUGGAUAUUCCUUGUAAAGGAAAGAAAUUUUCUUGGUAUAGUGGUGAUGGAAAAUCUAUGAGUAGAAUUGACCGAUUUCUUUUGUCUGAUAAUAUUGUGAAUAGUUGGGAGUGGUUGGGCAACUUGAAUGGAAAGACAUUAAGGUGGAAGGAAGAGGGGACUUUGUUUUAA